GAAAGAAUUGAUGAACCUUCGCCGUGGGUCCCACCCGCUGUAUAGGGACACCCCAUCUAGUCUUAACGAGCUUUGAUGCAUAAAAAAAUUCUAAAACAAUGCUUUAACAAGUAAUUUUGGGUCCGUAAUAUAGCCCAAAUCACAAAAAUGCGCGAAAAAGUAUUUAAAGGUCAAAAUUUGGGUUCGACAAAAAGUCAAUGGAAAAGUUCGUUUGUCGUGCUUCUUUCGUCGGAAGGCUCUCUUUGGGAUUUCCGAAAAGGUAGCACAUGCCUAGUUUGGCCUCACGGUAUAAAAGUUAUAGAGUUAUAAAGUUUUAACCAAAAAAAACAAAUUAAAAAAAAAGAGGGAUGCAACACGAGGACUUCCCGGGAGGUCUCCCAUCCUAAUACUACUCUCGCCCAAGCCCGCUUAACUGCGGAGUUCUGAUGGGAUCCGGUGUUUUAGUGCUGGUAUGAUCGCAUCCGUUAGUAUAUGCAAUGCAAUCUUAUAUAUUCUUUUUUGAAGACUUGAUGAACCAUUCUUCGUGGGUCCCACCCGCUGUGUAGGGAUACCCCAUCUAGUCUUAACGAGCUUUGCUGCAUUGAAAAAAUUCUAAAACAAUGCUUGAACAAGUAAUCUUUGGUCCGUAAUAUAUCCCAAAUCACAAAAAUACCCGAAAAAGUACUUAAAGGUCAAAAUUUGGGGUCGACAAAAAGUCAAUGGAAAAGUUCCUUUGUCCUGCUUCUUUCGUCGGAGGGCUCUCUUUGGGCUUUCCGAAAAGGUAUCACAUGUCAAGUUUGGCCUCACGGUAUAAAAGUUAUAGAGUCAUAAAGUUUUAACCAAAAAAAACAAAUUAAAAACAAAGAGGGAUACAACACGAGGACUUCUCGGGAGGUCACCCAUCCUAGUACUACUCUCGCCCAAGCACGCUUAACUAAAGGUCAAAAUUUGGAGUCGACAAAAAGUCAAUGGAUAUGUUCCAUUGUCCUGCUACUUUCAUCGUAGGGCUCUCUUUG
rnacentral:sRNA from 1 species